GUUUGCAUAGAAGCAACACGCUUUUUUCUAUUUCACAAUAUUGCUGUCACGUCUGUUCCAUUAUUGCGCUUGUGAUGUCAGUGGAUUUAGGUGCCCGUCACGAAUGCCUGAAGAAUAACGAUGUGUCUCUUCAAUGAGCGUUUCUGUGUGGGUUCCAUGUCCUUCAGUUUAGUGGCUGGAUUCUGAUUUUAUCCUCACUGAAAACACCUUGGAUUGUGGACUCGGGAUCGCUGCUUUACGUGCAGCCCUGAACACAAAACCUGCGUUUGUUUUGCGCGGAUUGUGUAGCGUGUUUUAUUAUAACUUUAUGCACGAAAUGGAAUGCAGAGUAUUGUCAAUUCAGAGUCAUGUUGUCAGGGGAUAUGUUGGCAAUAAAUCGGCAUCAUUUCCGUUACAGGUGCUGGGGUUUGAGGUGGAUUCAAUCAACUCGGUACAGUUCUCCAAUCAUACAGGCUACUCUCACUGGAAAGGCCAGGUGCUGACCGCAGACGAGCUGCACGUCCUCUACGAGGGAAUCAAGCUCAACAACGUCCACCACUAUGACUAUGUUCUCACAGGGUACACUCGAGACACUUCCUUUCUGGAGAUGGUUGUGGACAUCGUACAAGAGCUGAAGAGGGCCAAUCCUAACCUUGUGUAUGUGUGUGACCCGGUGCUGGGGGACCAUGGCUCCAUGUACGUUCCAGAGAACCUGCACCCAGUCUACAAGAACAAGGUGGUGCCAGUGGCCGACAUCAUCACACCCAAUCAGUUUGAAGCAGAGCUCCUGACAGGGAAGAACAUUAGCACAGAGAAAGAUGCAGUGGCGGUGAUGGACCUGCUCCAUAAGAUGGGUCCUGACACGGUGGUCAUCACCAGCUCUGACCUGCCCUCGCGUCUGGGUGACCGCUUCCUUGUGUCCCUGGGCAGCCAGAGGACGUUGAUGCCUGAUGGUACCAAGUCCACCCAGAGGGUUCGUAUGGAAAUCCCCAAGGUGGACGCUGUGUUUGUGGGGACAGGGGACCUGUUUGCUGCGAUGCUGCUGGCCUGGACUCACCACUACCCCAACGACCUCAAGACUGAUGGCCUGCAUCUGAUGGUCAAUCUGAGGGGAGGGAGGGAGCAGCGUUGAGGCUGCCUCUUUCCCGACUCACCGUCUCUCCUCUCUCCCUCCCUCCGCUCGGAAAAGGGGACACUGUCUUCCAGCUGAUGGUGAAACUCAAGUCGCACUGCAUUAUUUCUGCCUCAUGCACCAAUUCAUGUUACUCCUAUGACCACAGAAAAUGAAAUAUUCCUUGAUAUUAAAAAGGCCGCUAAGCCGCUAAUAAUAACAACGCAAGCUUAUCGAAACACUUUGCGAUACUCAUUUAUUGCAGCUGCAGUGCUGGUUGUAGUGUGAGUGGAAGUAGGGAGAACACACAUUUAAUGACUUUUAAAACUGUUGAACAAAGUGUUGACAGUGCUGAAUAACAACUUAAACAGGAACUUACUUACUUAUAAAAACAUCAGCACUUUGCUGUAUUCGUUGAGUCUCUCUCUAGUCGUGGUUUUAAACGUUUUGAAAUCUCACAUUAGCAACUUUGCUGUGCGUUCGAGGCUUCUUUUUACAGUCUAUGGCGCGAGGAAACUGUAGACACGGAGAUUUGAGCUAUGUGAUUGGCUAGCGGUAGACAUAUGGGUGCACUUGAUUUGCUCUCUGGGCCUGCCGGGUAGGUGGAGUUCUACCUUCAGACACGUGAAAUUGUUCAAAAUGGUAACACUUUGCCAUACCGGCACUAGGGCUGCUGAAUCAAGUGCACCUACCGCCAACAGCAUAAAACAUAUUUUUUUUAAAAGAGGAACGCAAGGCUUUAUCAUUGGGUUUUUUACAGAAAUGUUUGGUGAUCGACUAGGAAUGGCUUGGAGAUGGACCAAUCGCGAUCGACCGGUUGGUGACCACUACCCUACAUGCUGAUCUUGAGUCAGUUUUGCAUUUCCCCCACUAAUGGUUAAGAUUGGGGAAGGGGAAGAUCAUCCUAGAUCUAGGGGAAACUUCACCCCGGAGUGUGAUAGUAAUGGCCUUCCAUGGCGCUGCCCAUGCUGUCAUAGAAGCAAUCAAUAGAAUAGAUUGGAGGUGCACCCUCUAGGUUUUAUAGCUCUCUCUUGUAUAGCUGAAGCUCACCACUGAUACUGUCAGCAUCAUACUUAGAAUAAUAGUGAUCUCAAUCAGUCAGCUACAUUCCCACCAUUCAAACUUCCCCCAUUCUCAAGGUAAGGUCAAACUUGAUAGGUGUGGUAUGCUGGAGCUCUUACCAAUAUUUCAAAAAAAUGUCUGGACCACUGAAGGGGUGCUCAGUCCUAGGAUUUUAAAACCACAAUUGUAAAAGAAAGACCGGGAUGGCAGCUUAAUUUCCUUUGAAAGUUUCAUCAUUGCUUUGACAAACAAGUCUCUCUCUGUCUCUCCCUGUCUCUCCCUGUCUCUCUGUUAGACUGCAUGUGAGAAGACCUUCUCAGUCAUGCAUCACGUUAUCAAGAGGACCAUCUCCUAUGCUCACGAUUUAGCAGGGCCUGGCCGAAAACCCAGCCCG